AAGUCGUAACAAGGUUUCCGUAGGUGAACCUGCGGAAGGAUCAUUUCUGGUACUUUUGAUAGACUUGGGCGCAAGCUCAUGUGUUAACCAAACACCGACAAACACAAUUAAUUGUCUGAUACCUUUAAUACACACAACUUUCAACAACGGAUCUCUAGGCUCUU
rnacentral:misc_RNA from 1 species